rnacentral:rRNA from 1 species
CCUACGGGAGGCAGCAGUGGGGGAUAUUGGACAAUGGGGGAAACCCUGAUGCAGCGACGCCGCGUGAGUGAAGAAGUAUCUCGGUAUGUAAAGCUCUAUCAGCAGGGAAGAAAAUCACGGUACUUGAUUAGUAAGCCGCGGCUAAUUACGUGCCAGCAGCCGCGGCAAUACGGCGGGGGCAAGCGUCAUCCGGAGUUACUGGGUGUAAAGGGGGCGUAGACGGCAGCACAAGUCUGGAGUGAAAGGCCGGGGCUCAACCCCGGAACUGCUUUGGAAACUGUGGAGCUGGAGGGCAGGAGGGGUAGGCGGAAUUCCUAGUGUAGCGGUGAAAUGCGUAGAUAUUAGGAGGAACACCGGUGGCGAAGGCGGCUUACUGGACUGUAACUGACGUUGAGGCUCGAAAGCGUGGGGAGCAAACAGGAUUAGAUACCCGAGUAGUC